rnacentral:rRNA from 1 species
AUUGAACGCUGGCGGCAGGCCUAACACAUGCAAGUCGAGCGGAUGAGUGGAGCUUGCUCCAUGAUUCAGCGGCGGACGGGUGAGUAAUGCCUAGGAAUCUGCCUGGUAGUGGGGGACAACGUUUCGAAAGGAACGCUAAUACCGCAUACGUCCUACGGGAGAAAGUGGGGAUCUUCGGACCUCACGCUACCAGAUGAGCCUAGGUCGGAUUAGCUAGUUGGUGAGGUAAAGGCUCACCAAGGCGACGAUCCGUAACUGGUCUGAGAGGAUGAUCAGUCACACUGGAACUGAGACACGGUCCAGACUCCUACGGGAGGCAGCAGUGGGGAAUAUUGGACAAUGGGCGAAAGCCUGAUCCAGCCAUGCCGCGUGUGUGAAGAAGGUCUUCGGAUUGUAAAGCACUUUAAGUUGGGAGGAAGGGCAGUAAGUUAAUACCUUGCUGUUUUGACGUUACCAACAGAAUAAGCACCGGCUAACUUCGUGCCAGCAGCCGCAGUAACAC